CGCGGGUUCGUUAGUCGUUCCUGGGAACGCCAGCCCAAGUAUGGCUGUCGAUGGUUGAACGACGACCUCGCUGAACUCGCUGGCGAACUUCCGGCGCUGUUCAGCAGACUGGUACUCCAUCUUGAGAAUACAGAGGAAUUAUGCAAUAUCCAAUGACCGGGCAGAAUUGCCAAACGCUAUCAUUACUCUUUUAUACCGAUAUGGGAGACUGCAUUCAUCCAAUGGAACACGAUUCUUACUCAACGGUAUUACAAUACUCAUGAACCAGUCGCACGUAAUUUUUUCUUAAGUCUCUCCAAUACUAUAAUUGACACCGAGAACAAAAGCAUAAGAUUAACGCUAAAAAGUAGUAAAACCAUAAGAACACGCGAAACGUGUUUCCUUCCCAACGGGGCACGAAGUUGGAAUGCUAACUACCAAAUGCUAACUACACCAACAUGUAUGAAAUGUCAACGCGAGACAGCUGUCAAGCUUUUAUUUCCAUUGAAAAGUUCCCGGGCAACGUAUUAUUCGACUUGCAAAACCGUCGAUCAAAGUCUUUCCAGAGUAAUCCAUCUCAAAUCCGUAUCAAGUAACAAAUCCGCCUGUAAAAUGAGUCCAAGACACGGUAUCACCGUCUUUAAACUUGAAACUACCUAUUUCGCCUGGAUUUGUAAUCCCUUAGUAAUUAUAUCCACGUUAAUUUCUAUUCAUUCCAAGCAUCUGAUCAACUAAAUUCUCGAAUAUGUUAAACUUGUCUCUACGUUUUUGUUUAUGUAAAUUCUUAUGCAUGGAGGAAACAUAGUAGAGAAAGUGAUAUAGGUUCAAUCGAUACAAAAUGUAACUAUGUUAUAUUUUUGUAUUAUUUUUAACUUGGUAUUAAGUUAUUUUUUUUCUUAAAUAUCAAUUUUUAAAUAUAAACUUUUCAAAAAUGA